rnacentral:rRNA from 1 species
UACGGAGGAGGCAAGCGUUAUCCGGAAUUAUUGGGCGUAAAGAGCUCGUAGGCGGUUUGUCGCGUCUGCUGUGAAAACUCGGGGCUUAACUCCGGGCCUGCAGUGGGUACGGGCAGACUAGAGUGCGGUAGGGGAGACUGGAAUUCCUGGUGUAGCGGUGAAAUGCGCAGAUAUCAGGAGGAACACCGGUGGCGAAGGCGGGUCUCUGGGCCGUAACUGACGCUGAGGAGCGAAAGCGUGGGGAGCGAACAGG